rnacentral:rRNA from 1 species
AGAGCGAACGCUGGCGGCAGGCCUAACACAUGCAAGUCGAGCGCCCGUAGCAAUACGGGAGCGGCAGACGGGAUAGUAACACGUGGGAACGCGCCCUUCGGUUCGGAAUAACUCAGGGAAACUUGAGCUAAUACCGGAUACGCCCUUACGGGGAAAGAUUUAUUGCCGAAGGAACGGCCCGCGUCCGAUUAGCUAGUUGGUGAGGUAAUGGCUCACCAAGGCGACGAUCGGUAGCUGGUCUGAGAGGAUGACCAGCAUCACUGGGACUGAGACACGGCCCAGACUCCUACGGGAGGCAGCAGUGGGGAAUAUUGGACAAUGGGCGCAAGCCUGAUCCAGCCAUGCCGCGUGGAUGAUGAAGGCCUUAGGGUUGUAAAGUCCGUUUUAACGGGGAAGUAUAAUGACGGUACCCGUAGAAUAAGCCCCGGCUAACUUCGUGCCAGCAGCCGC